UACGUAGGGGGCAAGCGUUGUCCGGAAUCAUUGGGCGUAAAGAGCGUGUAGGCGGCCGCACAGGUCCGUUGUGAAAACUGGAGGCUUAACCUUCAGACGUCGAUGGAAACCGUGCGGCUAGAGUCCGGAAGAGGAGAGUGGAAUUCCUGGUGUAGCGGUGAAAUGCGCAGAUAUCAGGAAGAACACCCGUGACGAAGGCGGCUCUCUGGGACGGUACUGACGCUGAGACGCGAAAGCGUGGGGAGCGAACAGG
rnacentral:rRNA from 1 species